UAACGCGUGGGUAACCUGCCUCAUACAGGGGAGUAACAGUUAGAAAUGACUGCUAAUACCGCAUAAGCGCACAGUGCUGCAUGGCACAGUGUGAAAAACUCCGGUGGUAUGAGAUGGACCCGCGUCUGAUUAGCUAGUUGGUGGGGUAACGGCCUGCCAAGGCGACGAUCAGUAGCCGGCCUGAGAGGGUGAACGGCCACAUUGGGACUGAGACACGGCCCAA
rnacentral:rRNA from 1 species